AGUGGGAGGGAUGUCAGCUCCAGGAGGGGAAGGAUUUUUGACUUUGCUUUGCUGUGUACCCCAAUGUCUGAAGCAGUGGGCACUCAACAAAGAGUUGCUGAAUGAAAGAAUAGACUGAACCACACAGCGAAGUCCCUGUGGCCUGGAAGAACCUGGAAGGCUCUGCAGUGCUGUCUUUAGAAGCUCAAAGUAGCAAGAGCAGAAGCCCAGGAGUCAGUCAGGAGGCUCACCCAGUUUGGAUUCUCCCCAAAGCAGAGAUAUGUACUGCUGUGCUCUGGCUCCCUGGGAAGUGGGCAGUGAGGCUGAGUUUAUUGAGCACGAUGUUUAGGGGCUGGGCAGCCUCUCCCUGCACUGCACACCCCUGGAACCCACUCCGGAGCUGAGAGCUGCCCCAUCUCUUGGCCACAAUUCCCAGCAUCUUUGUAGGAGGCCCUUGUGUUUGCAAAGGAAGGUCGAGCGUCCCAGGAGUCUGGAUGCAGUCACGGAUCAUUACGGCCGGGAGAGCUGGUGCAGCCUCGGCCAGGGCAAGGGCACGGCGGCUGGUAGACUGGCGGGCGAGGUCCCGUGGAGUGAGGCCGUCCUCGGUUGCAGCAUCCCUGCCAGUGUCGCCACUCCCGCGGACGCUGGGGCCCGGAGAGUGGUGCUGUGGACUGGUUCCGGCCAGUGGCGCAUUUAGCAUCAAAACAAACCCAAUACUGAGGCCUCUUCAAAGAGGAAGAUGGAGGCCAGUGGGGAGAGGCCAAGGAAGACAGAGCCACAGGAAGAUGGAGAUUUCAUAGACAUGCUCUCCCCUGCCAUCAGGUAAGUAGGUGCAGGAUGACCCAGAUGCUGACCCACAGUGGGACUCUUGCUCUGUUCUCUCUUCUAAGACUUGCAUAGUCAUUAGCAGUGCAAUCUCUACUAGCCCUCCUGGCUUGCGGCCUCAGGGAGGGAAGGAAUUGAUCACAACAUCAACUGCAUUCCAAAGAGGUACUAACAGAGGUUGAGAGCACAGGCUUGGCAGCCAGACAGUUUUGGGUUUGCAAUCUGGCUUCUGCACUUAUCAGCUGGGUGACCUUGGGCAAGUCUCUUAUCUUUUCUAAGCCACAGUUUUCUCAUCUGUAAAAAGGAGGAAAUAGUAACUGUACCAUGGCAGGCAAUUUUUAUUGCCUCCUUUUCUUCCUUGCCAACAGAAUAUCAAUUUUGUUCAGGUGUCACUUCCCAUGAUUUCUGGGGAGGUGGGCCUAGGUCCUGAUCCUAGAGUGAACAUGUGAUCAGUUCUGGCCAAUGAGAUGAAAAGGGAAUAUUUUGGGGGUAGUUCUGGCAUUUUCCCUCCCUGAUAUGAGAAGGCAGACAAAGAGUAUCUCUCUAUUCUGUCUGCCACCUGCUUCCUUCUUGACGUGAAGUUGGUUGGUGGGAGGAACCCCCCCUGCUCAUGCUGCCCCCUGCUUCCUACAAUGGAAAUUUGUUGACUAAUGCUAUGGCUUUGGCAGCAAUUUUAUUCCCAAGAGACCAGGAGAAUGUGGAGACACCUAUUCAGGGUCCUCCAUCAUAGAGCAGCUAAAACAAAGCCUAACUGCCCAAGUUUCAUGUGAGAAAAAUGAACCCUUGUUUGUUAAUGUUGCUGUGAAUUGAUUAUUCUGUUCCUUGCAGCCAAAAGCAUUCGUAAACAAUGUAAGUACCUAUUUCAUGGUUUGAUGGGAGAAUUAUAUAAGAUAGUCAGAGGGUCUUCUGGACAGAGGCCUGAAAGCUUCUCCAAUUUCUCUGCAGAGUCUUGACAGUAGGUUUGUAAUAUUUCCUCCUUGGGAAUAAUGAUGAAAGAGAGAGGCUGGGAAAAGGAGCAGAGAAGUGAGAUAACUCCACUUUUCUCUUCCUGUUUUGGGGAGAAGGCAAUUCAGACUUUAGAUGAUGAUUCUCCAACCACCAUGCCUAUAAUGCAUUGCAUGCUGGGUCAAGCAACUACCGAAUACAUCUUGCAGACAAUGGCUGGAUUUAAAAUUUUUUGUGUACCUCAAAUAUCGGUCUGCAAUCUCUACAGACUGAAGGGGACUAGACAGUUCUCGUUGCAAAGGAACCUUUUGGGUAAAUAAUUAGAAGUUGGAUUGCUGGGUCAUAUGGUAAGUGUACGUUUAACUUUAUAAGAAGUUGCCAAGCUGCUUUCUGGAGUGGCCACACCAUUUUGCAUUCCUAUCAGCAAGGUGGGAGAGUUCUAGUUAGUCCAUAUUUUAAUCAGUACUUGGCAUUUUGGGUAUUUAAAAUUUUAUUUUAGCCAUUUAAUGUGUGUAGCGGUAUGUCACUAUGAUUUUAAUUUGCAUUUUCCUAAUGGUUAAUAAUGUUGAACAUUUUUUUGACAUCCAUAUAUCCUCUUUGAUGAAGUGUUUAUUUCAGCCCUUGGCCCAUUUUUAAAUUGUGCUACUUGUUUUCCUGUUGCUGAGUUUUGAGAAUUCUUUAUAUAUUCUGGAUACAAGCCCUUUGUUGAACACGUGAUUUGAAAAUAUUUUCUUCCAGUCUGUAGCUUGUCUUUUCACUCUCUUAACAGUGUCUUCUGCAGACCAAAGUUUCUAGUUUUGAAGAAAUCUGAAUUUCAGUUUUUUUCUUUUAUGCAUUAUACUUUGUGUCAUAUCUAAGAAUGUUUUGCCUAACUUUAGAUCUCAAAGAUUUUGCCCAUGUCUUCCACAAGUUUUGUAGUUUUAUAUUUUAUAUUUAGAUAUAUGAUCCAGUUGAGUUAAUUUUUGUAUACGGUGUGAAAUUUAAGUUGAAGUUCAGUUUUUUUUUUUAGCAUAUGAAUGUCCAGUUGUUCCAGUACCAUUUUCUGAAAAGACUGUCCCUUCCCCAUUGAAUGGCUUUUGCACUUUGUAAAAAAAAAAAAAAAAGUUGAUCAUGUUUGUAUGGGGCUAUUUUGGGACUCUGUUCUGUUUCAUUGAUAUGUGCAUGUCUAUUUCUUUGCUAAUUCCAUGUCUUGACUACUGUAGCUUUACAGAGAGUAUUAAAAUUUGGGUAGUGUGACUUCUCCAACCUUACUCUCCAUUUUCCAAGAUUGGCUUAGCUAUUUGUCUUCAUCAGUUUGGGCUGCUAAAACAGAAUGCCACAGAAUGAGUGACUUAAACAACAAACAUUUAUUUUUCAGUUCUGGAGGUAGGAAGUUUGAGAUCAGGGUGUCAACAUGGCUGGUGAGAGCCCUCCUCUUAGUUCAUAGCUGGCUGCCUUCUUGCUCUAUUCUUCACAUGGAAGAAAGAGAGAGGAAGCAAACUCUCUCUUGCCUGUUCUUAUAAGGGCAGUAAUUCCAUUAUGAAGGCUCCACUCUCAUGACCUCCCCAAAGCUCCAUCUCCAAAUACCAUCACACUGAGGAUUAGGGUUUCAGCAUAUGAAUUUUAGGGGUACACAAACAUUCAGUCCAUAGCACUAUUCUAGUUUCUUUGCUUUUCCAUAUAAAUUUUAGAAUUAGCUUGCCCAAUUCUAUAAAAAAAAAUCCUGCUGGAACUUUGACUGAAAUUAUAUGAAUCUAUAGAUCAAUCUGGGAAAAAUGAAUAUCUUUACUAUACUGAGUUUUCCAGUCUGUGAGCAUAGUAUGUUUUGUCAUUUAUUUAGGCCAAAUUUGAAUUCUUUCAUCAGCAUUUUGUAGUUUUUUCAACUCACAGGUUCCAUGCAUAUUUUGUUAGGUUUAUACAUAAGUAUUUUAUUUUUCUUGAAUAUGAAAUAUGAAAAUGGUAUGUAUUUUUACUAGUGUCUAAAACUACGAUUGGGGCUUCCCUUGUGGCGCAGUGGUUAAGAACCUGCCUGCCAAUGCAGGGGAAAUGGGUUUGAGCCCUGUUUGGGAAAAAUCCCACAUG